UCAGUGGUCAUGCAGGCUAAGUGACCACCAACUCUGUCUUUGGACCCCCUCCCAGGUACAGCGAGGUGUUUAUUUCUCCCUCAUAUAACAGAUGGGCAGAUGGAGAGUUGCGUGGUGUGGAAGGGGGUUAGGGAGAGUGCCUGACCCCCGGUGGACCUACAGGCUGGACCAGGCAAUCCGAGGCUCCUCCCCCCUCCCCGGCUCCCUCCUUGGGAGAUAAGUUCCGCCCACGUUCCCGCAACGGGAGCCAUUUUCAGGGACGCAGUCUCGAGAGAGUAAGGGAUGUUGAGACUCUCCGGACAGUGUACGGGGUUGAAUCCCACUAAGGCCUCUAACUUAAACAUUUAAGGUUCUGAUGGGUGGGUGCGGAGAGCUAGCUGUCUUGCGCCGCCCAAGACAAGCCUCCUAAGCUAAUUCCCUUGCUUAUUAAACCUGCCGCCUACCCAUCUGGAGGGGUUGCCUCUUCAGGCGUCUCCUUCUGUGUAUUCCGGCUGGUUUCAGAUUUCACCUGUGACGCUCCCGAGGAGGCUGUGAACUGAGAGAAAUGACAUAUAGAGCUUGGAUUUGCCAGGUUUAGGAGGCGUGGAGCAGAGUGAACAAGAUGGGAUUUGGAGUCACAGACUUCUGGGUUCAAAUUCCAGCAGCACUGCUUCCUGGUGGUGUGACCAUGAUAUCCAACUGAAGGAGACUGGAUUAACCCAUGGACAGUGAGAUCAGGGUAUCACCCCUCCCCUUCAAAGGAUCUGCCUAGGGACAGGUCAAGGGAACUACGGUCAGCCCCUAGCUGUUGGAGAAUAGUUCUUGGGAUGCUCACCAGGGUCUCCACCAUGUUGGACUUGUUGUUACGUAAUGUUUUCACGAUGUGGAACACGUCGAUGAUGUUUUGCUGCUGGAUCAUCUCACACACGCUGCAGAUGGCACAGAAGGUUCCACUGCGGCCGCCCCCGUUUCUAAACACAGAGGAAAGCGAUGCGGAAUAUCCUGUGGAUGAUGUCCUCGUCGAUGUCUGCAGAGACGAACUCCACCUGGAUGGGCCCAUAGCAUCCCGAGGUCUUCUCUGGCCAGUACUGCAUACAGAGCUGGAACAAGGAAAGAGGUCAUGGAAAGAGGGUAGGGGCAGGGGGCGUUGGUCCCACUUAUCACCAUGCCUCUCCUUCUGCCUGCGGGACAAGUUAGUGAGGAGGAUAGUAGGCUCAGAUUUUCUGUUAGGGAACAGCCCCCCCCUCCCCUUUUUUGGCUGCACCCACACCACGUGGAAGUUCCAGGGCCAGGGAUGGACCUGGUGCCACAGCAGUGACAUUGCAGGCUCUUUAACCCACUGGGCCAUCAGCAAACUCCAGCCACCCCCCCCCCUUUUUUUUGGUUGUUGAAAAGUCAGAGUUCGCUGUGCUGAUCUCCAACCAUUUAUUAGGCUAUUGGGCCUCGGUUUCCCCACCCGUAGAAGGCGGAGAAUGUUAUCUACCUUGAUGCUGUCAGGGUUAGACAGAACACUCCAAGGGGAGGGGGCCUACCAUCCCGGGUUCAACACCAAGCAUGGAAGUUUCCCCCCAUUCUAGGAAAAUCCUUCACAGUGUUCAACAUCAGAUCAUGAGUACUUUCCAAAAAAUACUAGGCUCUGUCAUCAGAUAGGGUUGGGCCCAAAUCCAGUCUUUGUGGCUUACUCACUGUGCAACCCAGGCCUCAGUUUUAUCCUAUGUAAAAUGGGGCUAAUUGUGCUUUCCUUGCCCCAAAGAUAACAUAACAUGGCAUUGAGAGAUCUUGCCUCCUAUCAUUCCAGUUUUUUUUAGGAAGUGGAAAUUAAAACCUGUAGCUGAGAGCAAAAGGUAGUGGUUGCGUCUCAACCUCAGACAAUGCUACUCGGCCAGAGGUGGUUUUCUCACCUAAGGGACAUUUGACAACCCUGGGCAAUACAUGCAAAAAAUUCUUGUAUCCUAUCCUUUCUCCAGAACUAGAACUAGAACGGAUGAGCAGAGAGGAGGGAGACUGGAGGAGAAGGCAAAGCACACAUCUCCCACCUUCCUGUCUCUGGAACCAAAACUCCAGCUUAGGGAUAAUGCUGUGUUCACACUAUGGCCCACGGGCCAAACCUGGCCAGCUGUCUGAUUCUGUAAAUAAGGUUUUCUUGAAAUACAGCUCCAUUUACCCAUUUACAUAUUGUCUGUGGUUGCUUUUAAGCUAUAAUGGCAGAUUUGAGUAGUUGCAACAGAGACCACAUAGCCUGAAAACCCCUUAAAAUAUUUCCCAUCUGGUUCUUUCUGCAAAGAAAGUUUGCCAACCCUUGUCCUAUAUAGCAUUAUUCUGAGGAUAAAGGAAUAAUGCAUGGGAGUCUUGGAUUGGAAGAUGAAUGUUUAAAAUGGCAGUACUACUCCAAGCAAUCUACAUAUUCAAUGUGAUUCUAAUCAAAUUACCCAUUACACUUUUCACAGAACAAGAGCAAAUAAUCCUAAAAUUUAUAUGGAACCAUAAAAGAUCAAGAAUUGCCAAAGCAAUCCUGAGGAAAAAGAACGAAACAGAAAUCAUCACCCUCCCAGACUUUAGACAAUACUACAAAGCUACAGUAAUCAAAGCAGCAUGGUAUUGGCAUAAAAAUAAUGCUAUAGAUCAAUGUAUCAGAACAGACAGCCCAGAAAUAAUACCCCCACCUCCCCACCACACACACACCCCUAUGGUCAAUCU